rnacentral:rRNA from 1 species
CGCUGGCGGCGUGCUUAACACAUGCAAGUCGAACGGAAAGGCCCUGCUUUUGUGGGGUGCUCGAGUGGCGAACGGGUGAGUAACACGUGAGUAACCUGCCCUUGACUUUGGGAUAACUUCAGGAAACUGGGGCUAAUACCGGAUAGGAGCUCCUGCUGCAUGGUGGGGGUUGGAAAGUUUCGGCGGUUGGGGAUGGACUCGCGGCUUAUCAGCUUGUUGGUGGGGUAGUGGCUUACCAAGGCUUUGACGGGUAGCCGGCCUGAGAGGGUGACCGGCCACAUUGGGACUGAGAUACGGCCCAGACUCCUACGGGAGGCAGCAGUGGGGAAUAUUGCACAAUGGGCGGAAGCCUGAUGCAGCAACGCCGCGUGCGGGAUGACGGCCUUCGGGUUGUAAACCGCUUUCGCCUGUGACGAAGCGUGAGUGACGGUAAUGGGUAAAGAAGCACCGGCUAACUACGUGCCAGCAGCCGCGGUGAUACGUAGGGUGCGAGCGUUGUCCGGAUUUAUUGGGCGUAAAGGGCUCGUAGGUGGUUGAUCGCGUCGGAAGUGUAAUCUUGGGGCUUAACCCUGAGCGUGCUUUCGAUACGGGUUGACUUGAGGAAGGUAGGGGAGAAUGGAAUUCCUGGUGGAGCGGUGGAAUGCGCAGAUAUCAGGAGGAACACCAGUGGCGAAGGCGGUUCUCUGGGCCUUUCCUGACGCUGACGAGCGAAAGCGUGGGGAGCGAACAGGCUUAGAUACCCUGGUAGUCCACGCUGUAAACGGUGGGUACUAGGUGUGGGGUCCAUUCCACGGGUUCCGUGCCGUAGCUAACGCUUUAAGUACCCCGCCUGGGGAGUACGGCCGCAAGGCUAAAACUCAAAGGAAUUGACGGGGCCCCGCACAAGCGGCGGAGCAUGCGGAUUAAUUCGAUGCAACGCGUAGAACCUUACCUGGGUUUGACAUGGAUCGGGAGUGCUCAGAGAUGGGUGUGCCUCUUUUGGGGUCGGUUCACAGGUGGUGCAUGGCUGUCGUCAGCUCGUGUCGUGAGAUGUUGGGUUAAGUCCCGCAACGAGCGCAACCCUUGUUCACUGUUGCCAGCACGUUAUGGUGGGGACUCAGUGGAGACCGCCGGGGUCAACUCGGAGGAAGGUGGGGAUGACGUCAAGUCAUCAUGCCCCUUAUGUCCAGGGCUUCACGCAUGCUACAAUGGCUGGUACAGAGAGUGGCGAGCCUGUGAGGGUGAGCGAAUCUCGGAAAGCCGGUCUCAGUUCGGAUUGGGGUCUGCAACUCGACCUCAUGAAGUCGGAGUCGCUAGUAAUCGCAGAUCAGCAACGCUGCGGUGAAUACGUUCCCGGGGCUUGUACACACCGCCCGUCAAGUCAUGAAAGUUGGUAACACCCGAAGCCGGUGGCCUAACCGUUGUGGGGGAGCCGUCGAAGGUGGGACUGGUGA